GUCAGGAUGGCCGAGCGGUCAAAGGCGCUGCGAUCAGGUCUCAGUCCACUUCUGUGGGCGUGGGUUCGAAUCCCACUUCUGACA